CAGCUUCUACAGAGAUUUAUAACCAAGUGUUUAAAUCUCACCCAAAUGUGUCCCAAUGAGGGGGGAAGAGAGGAUCAGCCCAUCGACUGAUCCCAGGAGUCAGGAGGUCCUUGGGAUGGUGUAUUCCCCCGUGAUGGUAUCUCCCCUGA